UUUUUGAGACAGAGCCCACACUGUUGCCUGGGCUAGAGUGUAGUGGCACGAUCUCAGCUCACUGCAACCUCUGCCUCCCAGAUUCAAGAGAUUCUCCUGCCUCAGUUUCCCAAGCAGCUGGGAUUACAGAUGCCCGCCACCACGCCCAGCUAAUUUUUUGUUUUUUUAGUAGAGACAGGGUUUCACCAUGUUGGCCAGGCUGGUCUCAAACUCCUGACCUCAUGAUUUGCCCGCCUUGGCCUCUUAAAGUGAUGGGAUUACAGGCGUGAGCCACCGCACCCGGCCUAUAUAUAUAUGUACAGGCUCCAAAGCUCCCAUACUAUUUCCUGUUUCCUCUCCCUUGCACUGGUACAUGUUUGAUAUAUACAACUUUUCAAUGUUUUGGCAGCUUCACCUGUGAUUUUUUUUUAAUAAAAAAAGAAAGGGCAGGAGGUGACAGUAAUCAUCACAAUUUAUUUUUUCUUGUCACAUGAAAAGAAACAAAUCUUUAUGAAAUAAUUUAAUACUUUGAAGGGUGACCCAGAAACACAAGUAAUGGCUAUCAAUGCCUCUUCCAGCCAGUGAAGCUACAAGAACAAGGGUGUCCAAUGCUUCUUUUGAAGAAAGCUUUAAAUUCAUGGCACUAUUUUGGAAUAUGAGAAAAAUAUUUUAAAAUGCAUUUCUUGGCCUCUCUUGUUUUGUUUUGUUUCCUUCCUGCUGCUCUUGGGGAGUAUUAAUAAAAGAGAUGGGAUAAGUGAAAAACACAAGACAGAGAACUAUUUAUUUUUUUUCAGUAUUUUUUGCCACUGAAAUGAAAAGAUUAUAAUAAUAAUAGUCACCAUUUAUUAAACUCUGCUAAGCACAUCAUGGCCUGAUUCAAUCCUUUUAGCAUUAUACAAGGAAGUUAUUAUCUCCCCUUUACAGAGAAGGCUGUGGCUGGGGAGGUAGGGGUUGAGAACUGAAUUCUACUCAGUAGAUACCAGUAGCCCCCCCACAACCAAAAAUGUCUCUGGACAUUGCCAAAUGUCUCCUGAGGUUGGGGGAGUGAGAAUCACUGCCCCACAGUUACAUCCUGGCAGAGUUAAGCAAUGAAACAAAAUCACUGGCCAUUAAUAAUACUAUAUGAUUUUCAAUUAAGAGCUUAUUUACACACCAAGUACCUUAGAAACCUGAUCUCAUCCCAUCCUCAUCAAAACCUUAUGGUGUGUACAAGCUGGAAUGAUGCCUAUUUUAUAGGUUAGGGCACUGAGGCACAAAGAGUUUAGUGGAUGCCUAGCUGCACAGUAGUGACCGAUAGAGCAGGCAUUUGAAGCCUGCCCUGCCAUCUUAGUCAGUGCACCGAGAUACGAAGAGCAUUUUUAAAGUGUGCUAGGCUCUUUCAUUUUCAUUACAUGUCCACUGAUAUGGUUUGACUCUGUGUCCCCACUGAAAUCUCAUGUCGAAAUGCAAUCCCCACAUGUUGGAGGAGGGACCUGGUGGGAAGUGAUUGGAUCAUGGAGGUGGAUUUCCCUCCUACUGUUCUCGUGAUAGUGAGUGAGUUCUCAUGAGAUCCAAUGGUUUAAAAGUGUGUGGCACUUCCUCCCUUCACUCUCUCUCUCUCUCCCCGGCCACCAUGUGAGGAUAUGCUUGCUUCCCCUUCACCCUUCUGCCAUGAUUGCAAGUUUCCUGAGGCAUCCCCAGCCAUGCCUCCUGUACAGCCUGUGGAACUUCAGGACCUGGGAGAGAAAAAAGCUACCAGCAACAUUCAGACUGAGAGAGGCCAAAAUACUAAUUCAUAAUUAGCCUGGUACAUAUGAAGGAUCAAAAAGAACAGGACUGUAUGUCUAACCUCUGACAGGCCCUACCACCAUAGUAGAGACUCAGUAUGUAUACUUAAUGAAGGAAUAAUGAAUACAUCAGCAAGAGAAAUAAGAGUGACCAUAUGUUCCUUAAGAGAAGCAAAGAGCAGCUCCUGUUCCUGCUGGAAUGAGUCUCCAUUCCUUGCAACAGAAGUGUCCUAAGUUAUAGCCAGAGGACGGGGGCACAUUGACAAAACAUAAUAACAAGGUACCAUUCCAGCAAGAACAUCUGAAGAAAGAAGCAGUGUUGUUUAUUUUUCCUUCAUCUAUUCUGAAACUAAAAUCCUUAACCAAAUUUAUUUCCAAAGUUUAACCCUUUAAUAAACUGGCCUCUGACUCCACCUGGUGGAGAUACAUAAAUCUAUGAAAAUAAACCAAUCCAAAUGAAGAUUUUAAA